GACGAACCGUCCAAACGUUAUUCGGAAUCACUGGGCUUAAAGGGCGCGUAGGCGGCCGAGCGGGUCACGGGUGAAAUCCUCCAGCUUAACUGGAGAACUGCCCUUGAUACCACUGCGGCUCGAGGAAGGAAGGGGCAAUCGGAACUGUCGGUGGAGCGGUGAAAUGCGUUGAUAUCGCCAGGAACGCCGGUGGCGAAAGCGGAUUGCUGGUCCUUUUCUGACGCUGAGGCGCGAAAGCGUGGGGAGCGAACAGG
rnacentral:rRNA from 1 species